AGAUUAUAAUAAGAAAUUUCUAAUUUCAAGCAGGCUUAGGUCAAAUCUUUAAUCA
rnacentral:tRNA from 1 species